CCAGUGUAGUAAUAGUGCAGGCUGGGUGCAGCCCAUAAGUUGCCAUCAACGGCUCUAUGAGAAGCACUGAAUUCAAUGCUGCAUACCCAGUUCAGCAACAGCAUAAACUGCAUGUUGACGCUUUACCUAAAGUAGAUUCCAUUAGUGAAUCCAAAUCCUUCAAGGAACAUUAUAGCCACCAAAACAACUUUAUCUUAAUGAAGCCGUAUGGAUGUAUAGACAAUGUCCC